rnacentral:lncRNA from 1 species
ACAUAUAUGGAAAAACAUAAUUCUUCAAAAGAAAUUAGUGACUCUAAUGAAGUGGUGGUUCAAACUCCUAAUAAUUUCUAAUUAUAGUAGAGUGCUAUUCAGAAUGACUUUGCAUGUUCUUGAGUUAGAUGACGUAAAAUACUGUGUCUUUGAGAACUAAAUGGGUUGUCCUAAUGAUAGGGAAUUCCGGAAAAGCAGUGGAUUUCAUUUUGCUUUUAAACUUUCAGGCAUUAUGACAUUCUUGAAGAUCGAGUUCCUUCAGGACUUAUUGUUGACUACCGCAAUUUGUUGACUCAGUGUGAAGAAAGUUACCGGAAAUUUUUAAAUCUGAGAAGCAGUUUGUCAAAUUGUAAUUCUGAUUCUGAGCAGGAAAAUAUCUCCAUGGUGGAAGGGUUAAAAUUAUAUUCAGAGAUUGAACAGUUGAAACAAAAGCUAAAACUCAUUGAGAAUCCUUUGUUGAGAUAUGUUUUUGGUUAUCAGAAGAACUCUAAUAUCCAAGCAAAAGGUGUCCGUUCAAAUGGCCAGAAGGUCACUCAUGUAGUCUCCUCCACCAUGGUGUCUGGUUUGCUGCGGUCUCUGCUCAGGGACAGGCUUUGUGAGGAACCUUUCAAGGAAGAUACAGAAAUUCAGUUCCAUAGAGAUCCAUUGUCUGCUAUAAAUGCCUGCUAUGAAGGCGACAGUGUUAUUGUUUGUCCUGGCCAUUAUGUGGUACAUGGCACAUUCUCCAUUGCUGACUCCAUCGUGUUGGAAGGAUAUGGUCUACCAGAUGAUAUCGUAAUAGAAAAGAGGGGUAAAGGAGACACUUUUGUGGAUUGCACAGGUGUGGAUAUUAAAAUUUCAAGCAUAAAAUUUGUUCAGCAUGAUGCAGUAGAAGGAAUCCUGAGUAAGUAUCUGAAUAUUUAGUGUGUUAUUUGAUCUAGGUUUUGAAAGAAAACUACUUUCUGUGGAGGAUAGAAUUUAAUGAAAUACCAGUUGAGUAUAUAGAAGGCUAAUUAUUUAUGCAUAUAGUCUAAUGGUUUAGAGA